GGCUCGUUGGUCAAGAGGUUAAGACACCGCCCUUUCACGGCGGUAACAGGGGUUCAAUUCCCCUACCCGCUCCA
rnacentral:tRNA from 1 species